GCUGGCGGCAGGCCUAACACAUGCAAGUCGAACGGUAGCACAGAGAGCUUGCUCUCGGGUGACGAGUGGCGGACGGGUGAGUAAUGUCUGGGAAACUGCCUGAUGGAGGGGGAUAACUACUGGAAACGGUAGCUAAUACCGCAUAACGUCGCAAGACCAAAGAGGGGGACCUUCGGGCCUCUUGCCAUCAGAUGUGCCCAGAUGGGAUUAGCUAGUAGGUGGGGUAACGGCUCACCUAGGCGACGAUCCCUAGCUGGUCUGAGAGGAUGACCAGCCACACUGGAACUGAGACACGGUCCAGACUCCUACGGGAGGCAGCAGUGGGGAAUAUUGCACAAUGGGCGCAAGCCUGAUGCAGCCAUGCCGCGUGUAUGAAGAAGGCCUUCGGGUUGUAAAGUACUUUCAGCGGGGAGGAAGGUGUUGUGGUUAAUAACCACAGCAAUUGACGUUACCCGCAGAAGAAGCACCGGCUAACUCCGUGCCAGCAGCCGCGGUAAUACGGAGGGUGCAAGCGUUAAUCGGAAUUACUGGGCGUAAAGCGCACGCAGGCGGUCUGUCAAGUCGGAUGUGAAAUCCCCGGGCUCAACCUGGGAACUGCAUCCGAAACUGGCAGGCUUGAGUCUUGUAGAGGGGGGUAGAAUUCCAGGUGUAGCGGUGAAAUGCGUAGAGAUCUGGAGGAAUACCGGUGGCGAAGGCGGCCCCUGGACAAAGACUGACGCUCAGGUGCGAAAGCGUGGGGAGCAAACAGGAUUAGAUA
rnacentral:rRNA from 1 species